GACGUAGGAGGCGAGCGUUGUCCGGAUUCAUUGGGCGUAAAGGGCGCGCAGGCGGCUCGCGGCGUCACUCGUGAAAGCCCCCGGCUCAACCGGGGAGGGACGGGUGAAACGGGCGGGCUGGAGGCCAGUAGGGGGAAGCGGAAUUCCCGGUGUAGUGGUGGAAUGCGUAGAGAUCGGGAGGAACACCAGUGGCGAAGGCGGCUUCCUGGGCUGGGCCUGACGCUGAGGCGCGAAAGCGUGGGGAGCGAUCCGG
rnacentral:rRNA from 1 species